AGUAUGCUACCUUAAUGGUUAAAGUUUUGCAAAAACUUUAUAAGAUAAUUUAGUUGUCUCAUACUU
rnacentral:tRNA from 1 species